rnacentral:rRNA from 1 species
GACGAACGCUGGCGGCGUGCUUAACACAUGCAAGUCGAACGGAAAGGCCCUGCUUUUGUGGGGUGCUCGAGUGGCGAGCGGGUGAGUAACACGUGAGUAACCUGCCCUUGACUUUGGGAUAACUUCAGGAAACUGGGGCUAAUACCGGAUAGGAGCUCCUGCUGCAUGGUGGGGGUUGGAAAGUUUCGGCGAUUGGGGAUGGACUCGCGGCUUAUCAGCUUGUUGGUGGGGUAGUGGCUUACCAAGGCUUUGACGGGUAGCCGGCCUGGGAGGGUGACCGGCCACAUUGGGACUGAGAUACGGCCCAGACUCCUACGGGAGGCAGCAGUGGGGAAUAUUGCACAAUGGGCGGAAGCCUGAUGCAGCAACGCCGCGUGCGGGAUGACGGCCUUCGGGUUGUAAACCGCUUUCGCCUGUGACGAAGCGUGAGUGACGGUAAUGGGUAAAGAAGCACCGGCUAACUACGUG